GGACCAAAAUUGGACGUCCUGUUAAGGUCCAAUUCACGUCCCCUAGGACGUCCGAUUAAGGUCCGAUUUACGUCCGAUUAAGGUCCAAUUUACGUCCAAUUAAGGUCCCAUUUACGUCCGAUUAAGGUCCAAUUUACGUCCGAUUAAAGUCCAAUUUACGUCCGAUUAAGGUCCAACUUACGUCCGAUUAAGGUCCAAUUUACGUCCGAUUAAGGUCCAAGUUACGUCCGAUUAAGGUCCAAUUUACGUCCGAUUAAGGUCCAAUUUACGUCCGAUUAAGGUCCAAUUUACGUCCGAUUGAGGUCCAAUUUACGUCCGAUUAAGGUCCAAUUUACGUCCGGUUAAGGUACAAUUUACGUCCGAUUAAGGUCCAAUUUACGUCCCCUAGGACGUCCGAUUAAGGUCCAAUUUACGUCCGAUUAAGGUCCAAUAUACGUCCCCUCGGACCUUAGAUGGACGUCCAAUGGACGUUCGGUAGCGCGACAUUUGGACCAAAAUAGGACGUAUAAAGGACGUUCCUCGGACGAAAACGGACGUCCAAUGGACGUCCCUAAAGUACGUGAAGGACGUCCAAUGGACGUCCAUUGGACGUCCUUGUGC